CCUACGGGAGGCAGCAGUGAGGAAUAUUGGUCAAUGGACGAGAGUCUGAACCAGCCAAGUAGCGUGAAGGAUGACUGCCCUAUGGGUUGUAAACUUCUUUUAUAUGGGAAUAAAAUGUUACACGUGUGGGAUUUUGUAUGUACCAUAUGAAUAAGGAUCGGCUAACUCCGUGCCAGCAGCCGCGGUAAUACGGAGGAUACGAGCGUUAUCCGGAUUUAUUGGGUUUAACGGGAGCGUAGGUGGAUUGUUAAGUCAGUUGUGAAAGUUUGCGGCUCAACCGUAAAAUUGCAGUUGAAACUGGCAGUCUUGAGUACAGUAGAGGUGGGCGGAAUUCGUGGUGUAGCGGUGAAAUGCUUAGAUAUCACGAAGAACUCCGAUUGCGAAGGCAGUUCACUGGACUGCAACUGACACUGAGGCUCGAAAGUGUGGGUAUCAAACAGGAUUAGAUACCCGUGUAGUC
rnacentral:rRNA from 1 species